UGCAUAUUCCAAUAAGCGGAGGAAAAGAAACUAACAAGGAUUCCCCUAGUAGCGGCGAGCGAAGCGGGAAGAGCUCAAAUUUGUAAUCUGGCACCUUCGGUGUCCGAGUUGUAAUCUCUAGAAGUGUUUUCCGCGUUGGACCGCACACAAGUCUGUUGGAAUACAGCGGCAUAGUGGUGAUACCCCAUUACACGGUGCGGACGCCCAGCGCUUUGUGAUACACUUUCGACGAGUCGAGUUGUUUGGGAAUGCAGCUCAAAUUGGGUGGUAAAUUCCAUCUAAAGCUAAAUAUUGGCGAGAGACCGAUAGCGAACAAGUACCGUGAGGGAAAGAUGAAAAGCACUUUGGAAAGAGAGUUAAAAGUACGUGAAAUUGUUGGAAGGGAAACGCUUGAAGUCAGACUUGCUUGCCGGGCUUGCUCGGUUUGCAGGCCAGCAUCAGUUUUCCGGGGCGGAUAAUGGCAGUUAGAAGGUAGCAGUCUCGGCUGCGUUAUAGCUUUCUGCUGGAUACGUCCUGGGGGACUGAGGAACGCAGCGUGCCGUAUGGCGAGGGUUUCGGCCCUUUCACGCUUAGGAUGCUGGUGGAAUGGCUUUAAAAGACCCGUCUUGAAACACGGACCA
rnacentral:rRNA from 1 species